rnacentral:rRNA from 1 species
AAUACCGCAUACGUCCUACGGGUGAAAGCAGGGGACCUUCGGGCCUUGCGCUAUCAGAUGAGCCUAGGUCGGAUUAGCUAGUUGGUGAGGUAAUGGCUCACCAAGGCUACGAUCCGUAACUGGUCUGAGAGGAUGAUCAGUCACACUGGAACUGAGACACGGUCCAGACUCCUACGGGAGGCAGCAGUGGGGAAUAUUGGACAAUGGGCGAAAGCCUGAUCCAGCCAGGCCGCGUGUGUGAAGAAGGUCUUCGGA